UAAAACUCGCGUACGCACAACGCACGGUC
rnacentral:sRNA from 1 species